GACGAACGCUGGCGGCGUGCUUAACACAUGCAAGUCGAACGGAAAGGCCCUGCUUUUGUGGGGUGCUCGAGUGGCGAACGGGUGAGUAACACGUGAGUAACCUGCCCUUGACUUUGGGAUAACUUCAUGAAACUGGGGCUAAUACCGGCUAGGAGCUCCUGCUGCAUGGUGGGGGUUGGAAAGUUUCGGCGGUUGGGGAUGGACUCGCGGCUUAUCAGCUUGUUGGUGGGGUAGUGGCUUACCAAGGCUUUGACGGGUAGCAGGCCUGAGAGGGUGACCGGCUACAUUGGGACUGAGAUACGGCCCAGACUACUACGGGAGGCAGCAGUGGGGAAGAUUGCACAAGGGGCGGAAGCCUGAUGCAGCCACGCCGCGUGCGGGAUGACGGCCUUCGGGUUGUAAACCGCUUUCGCCUGUGACGAAGCGUGAGUGACGGUAAUGGGUAAAGAAGCACCGGCUAACUACGUG
rnacentral:rRNA from 1 species